rnacentral:rRNA from 1 species
UGCGUAGGCGGGGCAAUUAGUCAGUGGUGAAAUCCUGCGGCUUAACCGUAGAACUGCCAUUGAUACUGUUGUCCUUGAGUAUAGUUGAGGUGGGCGGAAUGUGUAAUGUAGCGGUGAAAUGCAUAGAGAUUACACAGAACACCAAUUGCGAAGGCAGCUCACUAAGCUAUAACCGACGCUGAGGCACGAAAGCGUGGGGAGCGAACAGGAUUAGAUACCCUGGUAGUCC